rnacentral:lncRNA from 1 species
GAUCCAGAAAUAACUAUUUUGUUCAUAAGAGCAAUGUUACUUUUAUUAAAAUGCAACAUGAGGACAAAAAGGGUCCUCAAUUUGUUAUAAAAAGGAGUAAUAGUUGUGGCUUGAGCAACAUUAACACGUCUGGGAAUAUAUUUACAUAUACCAAAUAUGACAAAUCAGAUGAAGAAUAUAUAAAUAUACUAAAAAAUAAAGCCAACAUAAUAUCGAAUUCUAAAAACUGUUUUAAUAAUAAAAUAAAAAAUAUAACACCUAGUAAAAAAGACACUAACAAAAAAGGCACUAACAAAAAUGGGAGUAACAAAAAAACAGAAGAAACGGAUACUUACCAAAAACUAGAUUAUACAACUUUACAUUUGUUAUCAAUUGAAUUAAAUGCAUUAUUGAAAUAUUCUAUUGUUGAACAUAUUACUCAAGUUGAUGACAAAACAAUAGUUUUACAUUUAAACCAAAAAGAACAAACCUAUUAUUUGUAUAUAUGUUAUGACAAUGAUAACCCCGUUAUUACUUUAGGUCUAAAAAUAAAAAAAUUAUUUAACCGAUUUAUUGAAGAUGAUUAUGCCCAAAAAUUAAACCCUGUUUUAAAAUAUGGUGUAAUUUCAGAUAUAUAUAUUAAAAAAACUUUUAUAAAAAUAUUAUGUAUUGAUUUUAUUUUAAAAAAAAAAACAGAUGAAGAUAUAGAUAUAUAUGACGUAUUAAGUCAUACUAAUAAUGUAAGUAAAAAAGUAACACUUUUAUUUGAUUUGCAUCAUAAUUCUUGUAUUUCUUUUGUUAUCAACAAAAUGAAUAAUGAAAUAAUAGUAUCUCCUCAUAACCUUAUAACUGAAAAAACAAUUGAUAAAUCUUAUAAAGAAGGACAUAUAUAUAUAUAUCCCAAUACUACCAAUAAAAACGAAUGUAGAAGAAUUCCUAAUCAUUAUGAAUUUUUUUCUUCUUUUCUUAAUUUAUUCAAAUCUAGAAAAGAACAGAAUUUUAUUUCAUCAUUAUUAGAUAUAUAUGAAGGUAUUAGUUACAAUAUGUUAAUCAUUUUUUUAAUUAUUUAAAUAUAAACCCAAAUUCUAAGUUUGAAGAAAUAAAACAAACUGAUUUAAUAGACUUUUUUAACA